CAAGAAGGAGCCUGGACACAGUGAGAAGUGAAGAGGCUAGGACAAAGGGUGGCAGAAUCUCUAACUAUUUCCUGGCUCUGUCACUUAACCAAGCAGAAAUAAAGAUUUUUUUGACUGUUUGGAAAGUUUGUGGCCCUAAGCCGUUUUACUUAAUGUUUAAUUUACAACAAAUAAACCAUUCAGCUUAAAGUCUAUGCCUACAUUUCUGAGAACAGCCAAGUAGAGAGUGUACGACAGAGAGGAGAAAAUUGAGGUUAAGAGAGAUGAAGUAUUUUACAUGUGGUCCUGAAACUACUAGGUUGGGAGUCUAGGAUUUGAUCCAGAGACCAUCUGCCUUCACAGCUCAUCCCUCUCCACUGUAAUACAUGCCUGAAAUAACUGUUUGUAGUCCUGAAAAACGAAAAAACCAACUAAAGUGCCAGCAUAUCUCAGGGUAAAGUGAGGAGAAUAAAGACAACUGAAGACCCCACUUUUUCUCAUCUCUUGUAUGAAAUGCAAAUUUGUCACAUUGAUCCUUAUAAGUUUAGAAGAUUAAAUGCUACUUUGCAGUAACAGUUGGCUGGCAUUGAAAUAAAUUCACGGCAACUACAGAGCGCUACAGUCUAGAGUCGACAUUCAAGUGUUUGGAAAAAAUAAAAGAAGGAAGAAAUAAAAGAAAAGAAAAGAGAGAGAAUGUGAGAAGCUUUUCAAUUUGGCUAUAUUUUUUCAAGGGGACUCUGAUUUUGGAUGAUUUAUAGUACUUUUUUCUUCUGGCCUCAUCAACCAUAUUGGUUCUUCUGGCGGGUCUAAGAAUUAAAUUGACAAGAAGCAGAAUAACAGGAAAAUCAAACAAAGUUUAAUAAUGUGUAUACAUGGAAGAAACCCGGGAAAGUUAAGAUCUCUUGAUUCCUGAACACGGUGAAAAGUAAAAGUCAACGAAGAGUGAUUUCUGGCUAUGGCAGAAUCCAGAUGUCAGACUGGGAGAUGAUGAAGUGACAUUGAUUUGAACUAAGUGAGGAGCUUCAGUUGUCCAUUGUCGAAGCUGACAUCAGCCUCUACCCACCAUCAGUUGUCUUUUAUUAGACAAGUUCCUCAUUUCAGACUUGAACAAACAACUUUGUCUAAGCUGGGAGAGAAGGAGCUUUGGAGUGACGGAAGGAAGCCAAGACCUGUGAAUAUGCAAAGAAACACAGCUAGAAUCAUCAGAGUGAUCCCACAAGGAAGACACAUGCUCCUGAAAGAAAGGCCAAAUUUUAAAGUUUUGUGAUCAGGGUUUUUGAGACGCAUCUUCAGGAGUGGCCAUUGCAGACAGAACAGAUGAUAGAAGAGCAAGAAGACCUUAGCAAGACAGCUUUCACACUUCUCUUCCAGCUUAACUAAAGUUGCUCGCUUUUACAGAAUUCAUAAAUUUGAAUUUGAUGAAAGAUUUCAUUUAAAGCUGUGUAAGUGCUAAAAAAUAAAUGAAUAAAACCACUGC
rnacentral:lncRNA from 1 species